rnacentral:rRNA from 1 species
UACGUAGGGUGCGAGCGUUAAUCGGAUUUACUGGACGUAAAGCGUGCGCAGGCGGCCCGUUAAGACAGGUGUGAAAUCCCUGGGCUCAACCUAGGAAUUGCGCUUGUGACUGGCGGGCUCGAGUACGGUAGAGGGGGGUGGAAUUCCUGGUGUAGCAGUGAAAUGCGUAGAGAUCAGGAGGAACACCGAUGGCGAAGGCAGCCCCCUGGGCCUGUACUGACGCUCAUGCACGAAAGCGUGGGGAGCAAACAGG